UAAUACAUGGGGUGCAAACGUUGCUCGGAAUUAUUGGGCGUAAAGCGCACGUAGGCGGUUUGUUAAGUCGGAUGUGAAAUCCCUCGGCUCAACUGAGGAAGUGCAUCCGAAACUGGCAAGCUUGAGUACGAAAGAGGGUCGCGGAAUUCCCGGUGUAGGGGUGAAAUUCGUAGAUAUCGGGAGGAACACCGGUGGCGAAGGCGGCGACCUGGGUCGAUACUGACGCUGAGGUGCGAAGGCGUGGGGAGCAAACAGG
rnacentral:rRNA from 1 species